GGUCACCCAGACUAGCUGCUGCAUGAAGUCUGCAAUAGCUCACAGAGACUACCUGAGUGUAGAGAGAGCUCCUCCAUGCCCUCUGCAUCAAGAGAGCAACAAUCCACAGUGCAGGCAACUAGUUGGCAUCAGAGUUGCUCCAUGCUGUCAGGAACGACAGCAUGAGCCUGAGCCUGAGCCUGAUCCGGAACCUCUCCAGUCUGUAUUAUAUGUCCAACAAGAUGUAUCUCUGGACUCUACUCCGCACAACUACACCCUCAGAAGAGUUGUGACAGGCCUCACAGUGAGAGUGGAUUUCAAACAACACUGUACGCACUGACGUUGACCAGCUUUGUUUCCAUGUAGAACUCGUGCUCAUGCAUCAUCAAUCCUCAAUCUGUUAUCCGAUCU